rnacentral:lncRNA from 1 species
AAUUAAUUUCUAUAUUUACAUGUUUUUCAGACAACCAAUCUUGGCCAAAUCCCGAUUGUAGGGAUGUGGACGCUUAAUGUGAUAUUCUCAUGGCCAGAGAAAUAAGCACACUGCAAUUCUCCAGAAUGUUCUUAUAAAAGGGACCAGACAUGGAAAUGAACCGUAUAUGCUGGCUAUCAUAUUUCAGUUGAUACCCAUUUCCUAAAAGAUUCUUUCUUCUACUUUAGAGUAAGCUUAUUCCAAAGGCAGUGGAACAGGUUACUCUUUGAUGUCCAGAUAAGUGGAAAAAAAAAAACACUUUUCCAAUGUAUUGAUCUCUCUCAGGAGCAUUAGCUUCAGAUGAUCAUCUGUCCU